GACGAACGCUGGCGGCGUGGAUUAGGCAUGCAAGUCGAACGGUAUCAUCCUUUCGGGGGUGAGAGAGUGGCGAACUGGUGAGUAACACGUAGGAAUCUACCCUUAAGACGGGGACAACCCAGGGAAACUUGGGCUAAUACCGGAUGAGAGUGCGAGAGAUUGCAUUUAAAAGGAUGGCGAAAGUUGUCGCUUAGGGAUGAGCCUGCGGUCUAUUAGUUAGUUGGUGAGGUAAGAGCUCACCAAGGCGAUGAUAGAUAGGCGGCCUUAACGGGUGGUCGCCCACACUGGGAUUGAGAUACGGCCCAGACUCCUACGGGAGGCAGCAGUCGAGAAUAGUCUACAAUGGCCGGAAGGCUGAUAGUGCGACGCCGCGUGAACGAGGGAGCCCUUCGGGGUGUAAAGUUCUUUUCUAUACGAGCAGUGCUAUAUAUAUGGAUAGUAUAUAUAGAGGAUAGUAGUAUAGGAAUAAGCAACGGCUAACUCCGUAGCCAGCAGCC
rnacentral:rRNA from 1 species